GAGAAGGCCCGUCUCCAUGUGGCCACCAGACAAGCUGGCAGCAACCGGAGACGGACCUCCUCAAGUGACCACAAUGAUAUCCCUCCCUCACAAAAAUAAUUAAACAUGCCACCAUACAUGCUCAAAUGGUCCCUGUGAGGCCCUAGAGGCCAGCAAGUGGAGGCAUAACAUUUGCAGACCCCCGCUACAGCCUUUAGGAAGCCCCCUGAAGGGGCUACAGGUGGCAUGCACAAACAGUUACCCAGAGUGGGACCAAAGGGAUUUUGGAAAUCUCAGAACAACUAUGGAACAGAACUGGGGGCAUCAGCUUAUUAACACCUCCUGUCCCAGAUCCCUUCCUGCUUGAACUCCAAGAACAACCCAAGAGUAGGGCCUGAAGGGCAGUCGUCUAGUCCAGCCCACUUCACGGAGAAGAAGCGGUCCUGCUACCAGGGAUGGGUGUGCACCGCAGUUUGAAAAGUGCAAUCGCUUGACACACUUCGCCCUCCUUCAGUGAUGAGAAGACUGCCAAUUACUAAAGAUGCCUGUUAAGGUUGCUGAGCUCAGGCCCAGAUAUGAAUUUGGGGGCUCUUAAUGCUUACCUCAAAGAGGCAGCGAUCAUUACAGGGGCUCUGAAUUCCUCUCUGGAUUGAAAUUAAGUUCCUGGAUUAUUCUCUCCCACUCACACAGCCUUAAAAAUAAAAAGGCAGUGCAAAAUAAGCUGGGUGGGAUAGCAUCCAGGGCUUUGCUGGGAGGGCCAGCCAGUGGGGUACCUCUGCCUCUUUUCCUUCCAACAAACUGAGAUGCACGAUUAUCGGCAGCACCAACUUCAGGUUCCCUCCAUAUCUUGGGCUGGGGAACCUCAGGUUCUGCGUUAUGUGUGAACCAGGCCUAUAACGUUCUUGGAGGAAGUCAACUGAGACCCGUCAACAUCCAGUUUAGAAGAGCUUGCAGGUCCUAGAACUGCUUCUCCAUCUGGCUAGCUAACUAGCCAUUUCAACUAGAAA